rnacentral:rRNA from 1 species
UACGUAGGGUGCGAGCGUUGUCCGGCAUUAUUGGGCGUAAAGGGCUCGUAGGCGGUCUGUUGCGUCGGGAGUGAAAACUCAGGGCUUAACCCUGAGCCUGCUUCCGAUACGGGCAGACUAGAGGUAUGCAGGGGAGAACGGAAUUCCUGGUGUAGCGGUGAAAUGCGCAGAUAUCAGGAGGAACACCGGUGGCGAAGGCGGUUCUCUGGGCAUUACCUGACGCUGAGGAGCGAAAGUGUGGGGAGCGAACAGG